UCCUGAGAAAACACACAGGAGGAACUGUUCACUGACUGAUGACUGAUAUGUGGAAACCCACUGAGCAACUGGUGUCGUGAGUCAAUGCUGUUGUUUGGUUAAUAAACUGUAACCUCAAUGGAUAGAAGGGAAAUGAUAUUCUGGACAAAUGAAAGACAUGUUCUGCGACAGAUGCUGUCACAUCCGUGUCUCCUAUUUGAAGUGCAUGAUGGAGUCCAAACCUGUUCAAUCUCUCUGGAGAGUUGCAAAUUUUCAGUGUACAGGUAUAUUAAAUAAAAAGCAACAGAAAUUCGCAUAUGGAACAGAAC